GGAUGAACGCUGGCGGCGUGCUUAAUACAUGCAAGUCGAACGAGGGCUUCCUUGUAGCAAUACGAGGGAUUCCUAGUGGCGAAUGGGUGAGUAACACGUAGGUGACCUGCCCUGAAGUGGGGAAUAACAGCUCGAAAGGGCUGCUAAUACCGCAUACGGUCUCGAGAGUUAGAGGUCUUGAGUCCAAAGGCUGCGCAAGCGGUCGCUUCAGGAGGGGCCUGCGGUCCAUCAGCUAGCUGGCAGGGUAACGGCCUACCAGGGCGAUGACGGAUAGGGGGCCUGAGAGGGUGAUCCCCCACACUGGCACUGAAACACGGGCCAGACACCUGCGGGUGGCAGCAGUAGGGAAUAUUGUGCAAUGGACGAAAGUCUGACACAGCAACGCCGCGUGCGCGAUGAAGGCCUUCGGGUUGUAAAGCGCUUUUCGGGGGGAGGAGAAAGGACCGUACCCCCGGAAGAAGUCACGGCUAACUACGUGCCAGCAGCCGCGGUAAGUCGUAGGUGACGAGCGUUAUCCGGAUUUACUGGGCGUAAAGCGCGUGCAGGCGACGCGGCAAGUCGGGCAUGAAAGCUCCUGGCUCAACCGGGAGAGGUUGCCCGAUACUUCCGCGCUCGAGGGCAGGAGAGGAAAGGCGGAAUUCCGGGUGUAGUGGUGAAAUGCGUAGAGAUCCGGAGGAACACCAGUGGCGAAAGCGGCCUUUCUGGUCUGCUCCUGACGCUAAGACGCGAAAGCCAGGGUAGCGAACGGGAUUAGAAACCCCGGUAGUCCUGGCCGUAAACGAUGUCAACCAGGUGUGGGUGGUAUUGACCCCAUCCGUGCCGAAGCUAACGCGUUAAGUUGACCGCCUGAGGACUACGGCCGCAAGGCUAAAACUCAAAGGAAUUGACGGGGGCCCGCACAAGCAGCGGAGCGUGUGGUUCAAUUCGAGGUUACGCGAAGAACCUUACCAGGGGUUGAUAUGCAAGUAGUAGUGAAGCGAAAGCGGAACGACCCUUCGGGGAGCUUGCACAGGUGAUGCAUGGCUGUCGUCAGCUCGUGCCGUGAGGUGUUUGGUUAAGUCCACUAACGAGCGCCACCCUUGCCGCGUGUUACAUGUGUCACGCGGGACUGCCGGUAUCAAGCCGGAGGAAGGCGGGGAUGAAGUCAAGUCAGCAUGUCCUUUGCUCCUGGGCUACACACACGCUACAAUGGCUGGUACAAUGGGUCGCAAUGCCGCGAGGCGAAGCCAAUCCUCCAAAACCAGUCUCAGUUCGGAUUGCAGGCUGCAACUCGCCUGCAUGAAGUCGGAGUUGCUAGUAAACGCAGGACAGCUAUACUGCGUUGAAUACGUUCCCGGGCCUUGUACACACCGCCC
rnacentral:rRNA from 1 species